rnacentral:rRNA from 1 species
GAUGAACGCUGGCGGCGUGCCUAAUACAUGCAAGUCGAGCGAACAGACGAGGAGCUUGCUCCUCUGACGUUAGCGGCGGACGGGUGAGUAACACGUGGAUAACCUACCUAUAAGACUGGGAUAACUUCGGGAAACCGGUGCUAAUACCGGAUAAUAUAUUGAACCGCAUGGUUCAAUAGUGAAAGACGGUUUUGCUGUCACUUAUAGAUGGAUCCGCGCCGCAUUAGCUAGUUGGUAAGGUAACGGCUUACCAAGGCAACGAUGCGUAGCCGACCUGAGAGGGUGAUCGGCCACACUGGAACUGAGACACGGUCCAGACUCCUACGGGAGGCAGCAGUAGGGAAUCUUCCGCAAUGGGCGAAAGCCUGACGGAGCAACGCCGCGUGAGUGAUGAAGGUCUUCGGAUUGUAAAACUCUGUUAUUAGGGAAGAACAAAUGUGUAAGUAACUAUGCACGUCUUGACGGUACCUAAUCAGAAAGCCACGGCUAACUACGUG